CCAAGUUCCCUCUCCCCGUCCACGCUUCAUCUUCCACACCGGCAGCCCACGCCCCCACGCACGCAGCGGCGCCGGCCACCAUGACCGAGAGUGAUCUGUAGCGGCAGCUCCUUUCUGUUGGCAAGUGGCAAGUGGCAUCGCGUUCGCAGCGAGAGGUGAUCUCCAAUGGAGGCCGCGAGGUUAGGGUUCAGGCGUUGCUUGAGCGGCUGGCUGCGCGAAGAGGCGAGGCAGCGAUCCCCUUCCCAUCCUCACUGCCCCUCCUCCCGCCGGAGCAGAUUGGAAUGGCUUCCUCUCCGUUCGGAGCUCGGACUUCGGCGGGGGCGCAGGGGUGAGCACGAGAUAAAUUCCCUGCAUAGGUACCAGCGCGAAAGUUCAUAACCACAGUUGAUGAAAGCAGGAGGUCAUCACUGAUGUCUUGAUGCUCCUGGCGAGCAAAUUCGUAUUCAUAUCUAUGUUUUCUCCCCAGGCCCCGGCAAUUCUUUUGAUGAGGAUCGUUUAAGUUGUUGCUCAACUGGUUCGAUUAUGUUACCAAUGUUACUAUACCUGCAUUAUCAUUUCUGACCGUGCCUAUAUCAAGUAUGUUUCAAGUCGUCCACCGACUACGUUAACAAUUUAAUUCGGUCUCCCUGUGUGGUUAUUUAGUUUCACGUAUGCAUUGGCAAUUUGGCAUCGAUAAUCACAUUUCCACUGUACGCACCAGCCACUGCCACUAUGCUACCUAUUUAAGUACGUCUUGUUUGUUUCCUUUUACAAUGUUCACUGUUUUGGUUUAUUAUCCCUGAAUGCUUACACUGCUCAAUUAAAUGGGCACCGCGUCACAUUUGAGCUGUUGAUGCAUAGCUAUGUGUUACUUCAUUGUUUAGUUACUGAUUCUGAGUGAGAACUGUUUAUAUUUUGGUUGUACAUUUUUUCAUUGCUUCCUCACUUCUGAUAUACUUUCAUUACCUUGCCAUUCACACAGUCAUUCGGUACUAACUCAUUAUUUGCCCCCCUCUUAACAGUUUCAAUGGGCACUCUUUGCCAUCCCUAAUAUUUUUAUCAUGGCUGUUCGUGAUGUCAAUUGCCUUGUUGCAACCGCUAUGACUCUUCUCGAUGCCAGCCAGACUACUAUGAUCACUGCAGUGCUCGACGCCGAAGUAAGUUCUUUUUUUGAGGGGUUUUCCUCAAAAUUUGGUCGUGUAAAGUUUUUGCAGUACUUAUUUCUACCAGUUUAGUUCACUUCAGUUAAGAGAAUGAACAAAAACAUGCUUCUCUAGCAGCAUGUAUUGAGUGAAACUUUGCUUCAAAUAUAGGCUCCAAUUCACUUGUUAUUCAGCUGUAUAUUGUUGCUAAUUAAUUAUUUUAUUCAUCUGAAAUUUUGAACUUGAAUCUGAACUUGAAAGCGAGCAAGCUCUCUGAAGCUAACAUCUGUCAGAAUUUUUUAUGAGAUUUUUCAAAGUUCAAGCAAUUGAUACCUAUAGGAUAGCAGCAGCACUUAAGCUCUGUAGUACAUGUUCAAACCUAACAAAGCACACUUUUAACUUCACUUCCAAAUAUUUAAUACAACAGUCGCAUUCCAACCAUAUACUGAUAGUAUAGUAAAUGCCUAUCGUCAGCAGGUUGUUUAAAAUCGUUGAGUUUUGUGUAUCUAUAGUUUGUGUCUUGUCAAUUUGUCAUUGGUUAGGGCAUCUCCAAGAGUUCUCUUAAACAUGAUUCCCCUAAAUCCUCAUAUAGGGUACAUUCUAACAAAAAAUCCUCUCUAAAUAUUUGUCUUCUCUAACAGUUACCCUAUCUCAAAUUUUAUAUAGGGCGGACAGCAUUUUUUUUUACAUACAUAGGGUGGACAACAUGACAUCUCAAAUUUGAGAGGAAGAGAGGAUAAUUUAGGAAACCACUAAAUAUGGGAUGUUGAAUAUAGGGGCUGUUGGAGGGUGAUUUUUGUUACAUAAACCUUAAUUUUAGCUCCAGGGAGAUGAAUAGGGGAACUCUUGGAGAUGCUCUUAGUAUUUAUACAAAUUUGUGCUUGUUCAAGACAGAGCAUCGUUAUUACUUUUAGUUUACACAAAUUAUAUGUUCACUGUCUAGUAUUUCCUCUUUUGAAGCUGGUACAUAAAUACAUAGAGUUUUUCUUAUUGGAUGAAACUAGACUCUGUACAGCCUGAGCCAAUAUACUCCCUUGAACUAGGGAAACAACAGUUCCCCCUCUUCCCUGAAAGGCUUGUUAAUUGGGCUCUGCAAAAUGCUGAACAGGAGCACACUUGCAUUUGCAUCAAAUUUCUGUUUCCUAGUCGCUUGGAAUGUCAACAUGGUUUUCUUUUGAGGAUUGCCAAAUUGGUUUGGAAUGCUUAACGAACAUGGUAUACAGUAUACUUUAGAAAGCAUGCCAAGCUCAGCAUGCACCGAUUCAUGUCAAAAUCUAUGGGUGCAUAACCAUUCAUGUCUAGAAUUUUCCUUCUUAUAUUUUCAGGACCAAGUUUAUAUUUUGAUAAUUAGAUUUUUCAAAGUUUAUUCUGGGUCAAGAUUCUUAGAUGGGCAUAUGCUGGGCUUACAUUGCAAACAUGGACAUAUCAGUCCAUCAUCCACCAGACCAGACUUGGUCGCACUGUUCUUUUCACAGGCUCCCAUUCUGCCCGGUGUGUUUCUUGUAUGCGAGGGUUUGCACUUUUGUGCUGUAUUUGGAGUUCCUUUUUCCUUCUGGUUUUCUUCUUUAAUACAAAAAUACUUGGCUCCCUGCAUAUUCGAGAAAAAGAUAGACCAAGCAUGGUGGCAAGAGUUCAUUCUGGGCUAAUAGAUUUGAUCCAAGACUACUUUUAUUUAACUUGAUUUGCAUUUUCACCAUCAAAUCUACGAGAAGGGUGAGAUUGCCUUUAUAGGAAUGAUAUCUCAAAAGACUAUUCUGUUAAGGUAUAAUAGUCAAGGGUAUUAGUGUAAUCUCCUAUGUCACUAAUACCCUUGACUAUUAUACCUUAACAUAUUCCACUCAUGUGGCUUGCGAUUCUGCAGAAUUUGGUUUCUCAAUCCCUCUUACUGUCUAUGGUAGAGGUUUUAUAUUUUUAUCACCCUGGGAUCCUUCUCCCUGUCAUAACCAUGGCAUCUGAUCCAUCUGUGCCCUUAUAAUCUACUUUUGUAGUUAUCUAACUGAACACCUGGCCCACUUGCCCAAAUACUUCUCGCAUCUUAUGGGUGACAUGAUAACAACGUCUCAAAGUUGGGCUGAAAACGAAGGAUGGUACGGAUGGGAAGGAUGGUACAGAUGGGCAUCAAAGUGAAGUGAUAAAUAUUGUCACUUUCAUAAGAAUUGGAACUCCCACCAGUAGUGAAUAUCUUACAUAAUUUCCAUCGCUCAUCAACUAACAUGCUGUUUUGAGUUCAAAAUGUGAGAAGCGAGAUAGGUCGUUCCAUUGUGGAUACAAUGGAUAGUUUAACCAGCUUGGAACUGUUUCCUAUCACGUCUGUAGCUAGCUUCUGUUCGUAGAGAAACUAGUCAGUACAUACAUUAUUAACUUAUUUAUGUUAUUUGGUUGUUGCUUUCUCAAGCAAUCUCUUUAAUUGCAGUCUCAAUGUUAAUCAACUAUGGGAGAAGUGAGAACGAGAUGGGGUUAGUUAUGAGGCCAUGUGCAAAAGAUGGGCAGAACAACACAAGUGGGGAGCAACAGUUGGAUGGGGGGUAACAUGGGAUGGGAGCAAUGUCUGUCCAUGUUACUUAGUGUAUAUUUUCUGUAUAGCUUUCAAUCUUGGCUGGACUCCUCUGGCAAGGGAAUAACAACCACCAACUUAAUAUCCCCGCUUCCACUUUAUCUCUUUAAUUCUUUAUCCUUUUUUGUCCUUCCAUUUGGAAAGAUAAUAGUGGGGCUACAGUGAUGCCUUUCUUUAUUUUCGUUUAUGAAAUUGAGAGAAUCGCUAGGCAUACACCAACUGUUUGCAAUGUCCCUUUCAUAUUAAACCUAGCUGAGUCACAGCAAUGGUUUCCAUGCUUAUGGUUGUAGGGGAAAUUUAAUUGUGUACAUAUUCAGUGAGUAUUGUGGACCACUUUUAGCAGGGUGAAUCUCAGAAAAGGCUGCCUGAGGAUGCAUAUGCAUCUGCUUUAGGAAUACAGAGCAUGGCAACUAUAGUAAAUAAUGAUCACCUAACGGUUUGGUACAAUUGUUAAGGUGAGAUAAGUUCUUAGUUGGCAAUGCUAUGGACUGGUCAUCUGUAUGUUUGUACUAUAGUACAAUAAUAGUAUUAUUUAAGUGGGUUGUAAGGGUUGGAACUUCAUUUACAUUUUACUAAAGGAUCUGGGUGCAUUUAAGAAAAAUCAUUGCACUUUGGCCUUAGAAGGAACAGGGAAUAAGUGGUCGCAACAUGAUUAGCCAGUUAUUUUGGGCUGGACAAGACGACCCUUAUCACUUUGGAAGGCCCCUAAAUGUUGUGAAUAACUCGGAGCACCAGCCUAUUGGUGGACUUGACUACUUGAGAUAUCAAGUUUCAUGCAUCUUAGGCAUCUUCAUAGAAUAUUGGGAGAGCACAGGGUGGACAUUUCUUAUUUAAGUCGUGGUAUUACUUUACUCGUCAAAGUGAGCAAGUGACACUUAUUUAAUAUAUGUUGCAGUGUACUAUGCAACUUCACCUAUUUCAGUUUAGACCACUAAGCUAUGCACCUAGGAUGGUGUCGAUGGGUUCUUUUUUCCUUUUGCAGACCAUCUUUUGGUGAAAUGUUUUCCACAGAACGUUCUUCAGCUGUAUCGUCAAACAAAAAACGAACAGCAUUUUAUCAUUGAUCCUUGCAGGUGUAAAUCAAUGGCAGAGACCAAUGGCUACAUGUGAAACAUUUCAAGCCCUACACGUGGAGGAAAAUGAUUGGUUAAGGUGCGCAUAUUUUGAGGAACUUUGCUUCUGUCUUUUCAUGUGGCUUAUUGAUUUUUUGGGUGGUAGGAGGAGGGCAGUGUUACUAGAACAGUAAGAUCCGCAUACCCAUAUCGGACACCGGUCAGCAAUAUUCAUAGGUGUUGCUUAGGUAUCGCUGUCAAGCGUCAACAUUUGGUCCUAACUCCUAACAUCACUUAAUAAAGUACUGCAGGUCGUGCAGUUAAUAGUGGGGCACCUAAUAACGCUUUGUAGAGGUGGAAAAGGGAUGUACUCUAAUGCUAACUGUUGCCAUUAAAGCUUCUCUUUGUCAAGCUUCAAUGGGAUUGCAAAUCGAAAGAACAUUUUCCUUAAGACCCGUUGCUUAGCUCAUAAAUCUUUCUUGCAUUCCAGUCAGUCUGGGGAGAGAUUUUUUUUGAAAAGAUCUGGGGAGAGAUUUCACUGUGAUGCAUGGCAAUACCUGCCUCCAGUGGUCCGUGAUGGACAAGGCUUUCCUUGCAAGACUGUAGACGUUUACUUGCUCACUGAAGCAGGACAAAGGAAGAAAGAUAUGUCCAGAUCGGCGUUUAUAAUUUAGCGCUCCACCCAGCGUCAUGGGACCAUAUAUAAUAACAAUAAUGCUUCACUUGUUAGUCUGUACUGUGUCGAGGAGCACCGAAAUGGACCCCCACCUGAUGAGGCGUUUUAUUCCGAAGUGAAUGAUCGCCACGGCUUAUCUACAGCAUGGGUGCCUUGCAUUCAUUCUGCUUGGUUUGGUUCAGUCGCUCUCUCUUUAUUUGCAUUGUGCUCCAUCAGAUGCAUUAUACAUGGAUUCUUCAUUGUAUCAUACACUAUGCUUGAAUUCUCUAUAUAUACUGGAACUUUCAAUUAUUAUUCACUGUUCUUUUUUCGACAAGAUGAAUAAAACUACUGUGCCUUUUUACUUGCUGCAGAAUAUUCUCUGUAUCUUUUUUCUUUGUAGUAACAAAGUCUGAUGAUGGUCAAAAACAUCUUGUUAUCCUUUCUGUACUUUUGGGGCAGGCACGCAAAUCAUUUAGAGCCGUGCAGCCUUGCAGGUCACGCGACGCAUGCAGGCACAAAGGCAAGUGCUUCAAUUCAACGCCCCUUGGCGGCGCCGCGCGCUGCUGUUGGAGUGGAAGUGGCUCUUCGUACAAUUCUACACGCUGCCGAAUCAUUUGCGCUGUCUGUGACCCCCCAUCGUUUUGGCAUCACCCCCUCCUCUCCCUCCAUGGCCUUUGCCUUUACCAGUUUGUCGCCUUGGCCACGCGAGGUGCCUUUCUGUCUGGGCCUUUAAUUUGUUCGAUGCUUCAGCAAUCAGCAGAUCUCCUUAUUAGAAUGUAGUAGUGCUGGUGGUAUCUUUCUGUGGAAUUAUUAUGAGCAACAAUUAUUCGGGCAACUACUAUUUGUGGCGAUUUAUUGAGGAAACAACCUGCCGGAUGGGACAUUUUGAUCCUGCCAAUUCCUGGCUUGCAAACAAAGGGCAUCGUUUUCACUGAACCGCAUGGCAUUAAACCUAUACGAUGCUGUCAGCAUUCAGCACAACCAGCGACCUAGGAUCUGACAGGAUGUUUCUUUAUUCUUCUUUUUCUUUCUAAAAGAUAGGUGAGUGGUUUGCAGGCAACCUAAUAAUACUCUACUAUGUAGUAUAUUACUAGUACAGUAAUAACAGAAUUUUUGGAGAUGAUUUUUACUAAUUACCUGGAAAGAUUAGCUUCAGUAAUUUACUGUCGCCAGCCCUUCCAAGAAGGUAAGGGUAAGGAGUGAACUUGUGUUGUAGUUAGUGUUAAUGAAACAGUUGCCAUGUA